rfam:Psychromonas sp. CNPT3, complete genome.
GCGGAAGUGGCGGAAUUGGUAGACGCGCUAGAUUUAGGUUCUAGUAUCGUAAGAUGUGAGAGUUCAAGUCUCUCUUUCCGCA